rnacentral:rRNA from 1 species
UACGUAGGGUGCAGGCGUUAAUCGGAAUUACUGGGCGUAAAGCGUGCGCAGGCGGUUUGCUAAGACAGGUGUGAAAUCCCCGGGCUUAACCUGGGAACUGCGCUUGUAACUGGCAAGCUAGAGUGUGGCAGAGGGGGGUGGAAUUCCAGGUGUAGCAGUGAAAUGCGUAGAUAUGUGGAGGAAUACCGAUGGCGAAGGCAGCCCCCUGGGCUAAGAUUGACGCUCAUGCACGAAAGCGUGGGGAGCAAACAGG